rnacentral:rRNA from 1 species
UACGUAGGGUGCAAGCGUGUCCGGAAUUAUUUGGGCGUAAAGAGCUCGUAGGCGGCUUUGUCGCGUCGGCUGUGAAAACCUGGGGCUCAACCCCGGGCCUGCAGCCGAUACGGGCAAGCUAGAAUUCGGUAGGGGAGACUGGAAUUCCUGGUGUAGCGGUGAAAUGCGCAGAUAUCAGGAGGAACACCGAUGGCGAAGGCAGGUCUCUGGGCCACUACUGACGCUGAGAAGCGAAAGCAUGGGGAGCGAACAGG